AAUGAACGCUGGCGGCGUGCCUAACACAUGCAAGUCGUGCGCGAAAGGGGCUUCGGCCCCGAGUAGAGCGGCAGACGGGUGAGUAACACGUGGGUAACCUGCCCAGAAGUGGGGGAUAACCUGGGGAAACUCGGGCUAAUACCGCAUACGUUCGCGGGGUUCUGCUCCGCGAGGAAAGCCGGCCUAUGCUUGCAAGCUGGCGCUUUUGGAGGGGCCCGCGGCUGAUUAGCUUGUUGGUGGGGUAAUGGCCUACCAAGGCGACGAUCAGUAGCCGGCCUGAGAGGGUGAACGGCCACACUGGAACUGAGACACGGUCCAGACUCCUACGGGAGGCAGCAGUGGGGAAUAUUGGACAAUGGGCGCAAGCCUGAUCCAGCAACGCCGCGUGGAGGAUGAAGGCCUUCGGGUUGUAAACGUCCUUCGUUAGGGGGAACGGAAGGGUCGCGGGUUAACAGCCGGUGACCUUGACGGUACCUCCAGAGGAAGCCCCGGCCGUAACUCUCGUGCCAGCAGGCCGCGGUAA
rnacentral:rRNA from 1 species